GCCCGGAUGGCGGAACUGGUAGACGCACCGGACUCAAAAUCCGGCGGUAGCAAUAUCGUGCGAGUUCGAUUCUCGCUCCGGGCACCA
rnacentral:tRNA from 1 species